rnacentral:rRNA from 1 species
GACGGGGCCCCGCACAAGCAGCGGAGCGUGUGGUUUAAUUCGAUGCUACACGAGAACCUUACCAGGGUUUGACAUACAAGUAGUAGGGAAAGGAAACUGGACGACCCUUCGGGGAGCUUGAACAGGUGCUGCAUGGCUGUCGUCAGCUCGUGUCGUGAGAUGUUCGGUUAAGUCCGCUAACGAGCGCAACCCUCGCUGUGUGUUACAAGUGUCACACGGAACUGCCGGUCAUAAACCGGAGGAAGGUGGGGAUGACGUCAAGUCAGCAUGGCCUUUAUAUCCUGGGCUACACACACGCUACAAUGGGAAGGGACAAUAGGUUGCGAAACCGCGAGGUGGAGCCAAUCCAGCAAAACUUCCCUCAGUUCAGAUUGCAGGCUGCAACUCGCCUGCAUGAAGUUGGAGUUGCUAGUAAACGCAGGUCAGCCAUACUGCGUUGAAUACGUUCCCGGGCUU